rnacentral:lncRNA from 1 species
UCACUUUAAUGGAACUUUACGAAAAGGAUGAGAUAAAAAAACAAAAAGUAACAACAAACAAGAUUCGUUUUUUAUUAAUUAAUCGUUUAUAAUAACAUUGUGUUUUUUGUUGAUUUUUUUUUCUUUUGUAGCAGUUUUUUCUGAUAUUUCAAUUGGGCUAACAAGAAAUAGAUUGUUAUGCUCCGAUUCAUAGAAAAAACAAAGCACAAGAUUACUGAAUGACAAACGUAGCUGACGAUUUGACAUGCUUAAUCAAUGCGAUAAUUUGUUAUAUUAAAAGUUUUAUGAGUAUAUAUAAUCGAUUUCUUUUUUUAUGCGCUACGUUCUGUUUAUACAAUUUUAGAGUAUCGAUGUAAGAGAAGGAAUGACAAUAAUUGGCGCCUAGCUAAUAACACCAUCGAAAUAUGUCUUCUAUUCCACACUAUCCAAUGUUUUUAACUCUUUUCUUUUCAAACUAUUUUCUCUCCCCAUUGAUUUUUUUUAUUCAUUAUGUCAUCUCAUAUAUGCAUCGAUAUAUAUACACAUCCACUCGUACAUAUGCGCACUCUUUCUCUUUUCUUUCUUUAUUCUAUCUUUCCAUAAAGUGUUUUCAUGGAAUAAAGUUCUACAAUUCCAAAGGGAGUUUUAAUCUCUCAUAGAAGAUUAAUACUCGUCACUAAUAGCUGUUGAAAUAUUGUAUAUUAUUUAACUAACCGUUAUCUAAAUCGAUAUAACGCUUGUACAUCUAUUUUUUUCUCAGGAUGUGGAAAACACUUUUCUGAAAGAGAGAUUUCAGUAUGAGACCUAACAUUGAUUAUUUUGCUUAUUAAUUUUUUUCAUCGAAUUAAAAGAAUCUUCCACGUUCUUCAGACGGUCUUUUCAGCGAAAAAAGAUCAACGUUUGAACGAAUAUCAUUUUUCGUUCAUUUAUUUCGGACAUACACAUACGCAUCAUCUUCGGCACGGCUUAUAUUUGCAAUUCAUAUUGUAUUAGCUGUAUCAAAAGACUGUUUCAUACGAAUUCAUUCAACGACUAAAUUUAUAAUAAUGACAAUAUACAAGUGAGAUACUACACAAAAAUGAGCGUAGAUAACAAACGAAACGACUUCGAGGUAUCUAAUCCAAUUUUCUCUCAUUAUUUUCUCUCAUAUUUUUUCACACUUUUUUAUAAUUUUUUUUAUUCUUGAUUUAAUUUCUUAGAAUGUUAUUUAAUUUGCGCUUGUUUUUUUCAUCCGUUCCAUAUCUUUACUUCUGAUAAAUGUUUAAAUAAAGAUUUGUCUAAGUAUUAUCUGUUAGUUCUUAAUCGUGUUCGACCGUUGCAUUGCGUUAAUUUAUUGUUCCUGUUGUUGUUAAAAUUAUUAUCCUCUAAGAUUUAGUCCGAUCACAAAUAGAGAAGAGACAGAAUUUAGCUCUCGAUACGUGGAAUACUUGAAAUGGAUUUUUUUCUCGCGUUACAUUUUUUGCAUUUUUUAUUAUAAGACUACUUGCUAUUUUUUUUAUUCUUUUUUUUUUUUAUUCCUUUUUUUUUUUUUUUUGGCUUAUGAUAUCUAACACUUAACAAUAAUAGAUGAAGAUUUUUCGUAACUGUUCCAAUAUUUUCUUUCGUACAUAUUCAAUGCUGCUACGUUUUACAAUGAUUCUGGAUUUUUUCUCACAUACAUUUUCAUUUGAAUCAUUUUAAACUCGUUUCGCUACACGAUUUGUCAAUAUGAAACUAAAUAAUGAAAAACGAGGAAAAAAAAAGCAAAAAUGUUAAAGAGAUGGCAGAUGAACGAUAUAGAUUUGCUAAGAAAUAUUUAAUUAACACAUUCACUACCAUUUCAAUGAAUUUUUAUCUAAGAAUUUUUUUUCCAAGAACAUGCUGUUUUUUUUUUUUUUUCUUCUUCUUUUUCUAUAGAUUUGAUCGGUUCAUCAAUUUUCCGUGAAUGUUGUAAGUUUUGAUUACUAGUUUUGUUCGUGUCUUUCGAUGGAUCGACCGAAUAUUCAAAUAUUUUCAUCAAUCAAUUCUGACAUUGGUAGCGAACGUGUUAAGCAUUUAAAGAUCUUAAAUGUCACGUCAGUCUUUUUCUUUUUUUUUUUUUUUUUUUUCUUCUUUUCUUUUCUUCGUUUAAUCGCCUGAAUCAACAUUUCACAUUAGAUAUGUUCACAGCAAAGAUUUAUAGGAAUUCUGACAACAAUCGCGAGUUUACUCCGCUCAAAAGGUACUAUAAGGACAAAGAUCAAAGAAAAGUAAUAUAUUUUUGGCUCAAUCCAUUGGAAAAUUUUUCUAGAUCAGCAGAUUACAAUAAUCCAUCGAUAUAGAGAAUCAUUGAAUGCUGAGGAGUAUUAACAAACUCCUCCGUAAUAACGGUUUAAUUAUACAAUAUAUUAAAUAUAUUAUUAUAAUAUUACGUACUGACUUAUUUUCAAAUCAUCAUAUUGUAGAAUUUUUGAAAGAUGCUUAUAAUAAAUGUAAGAUAAAUGAUGUUACAUUUAUUUCCAAUGGAUCAAACGAUGUCGUUGAUAAACACAUUUCAAAGAACAGCAUCGAAAGCGUAAUCUAUUCAUUUCAAUAAAUUUUUGAUUCAGACAAAAUUUAAAUUUUUGACGCUCGCGCGAAUACUGGUCGAACGAGAUUGACUAUGAUUGAGUUUGCAAUUUCAUGCGUUAAAUCGAACACGACAAUCGAGCAAGCUUUACAUAUUUCGCGACUUUUAUUUCUCAAUGACAAUACGACAAUCGAAACAUGCUUAAAUAUCUACAGUUUUCAAAUGUUUAAUUGUAGAUAUUAAUAAAAACAUUUUUAUCCAUUUAGCUUUUCCACUGUCGCGAAGAAAGUGAAAAGAAAUAUUAAAUAGAGAACUAAGAAAAAUGAAUCUACGUUUGAAUAGCCAAAUUGGUCUCUUGAAAAAAUAUAGUUUGGUCCAUGGUCAUAGUAUACACAGUUUCUGUAACUCUUGCUCGUUAAACGUUAUGCGAUUCAUCGUGAUCGACAUUGCAAAAACAAGAUUCAAAAAUCAUAUUGUAUCAAUUUGAUGGUGCUACUACGUGUGGCCCAAUCCCGCAUUCCAGCAAAUCUGAUCUAAUAUAAUUAUUGCGACAAAAGUGAAAGAUAAUGAAAAUAUUGUCAAGAAGAUAGAAGU